AGUCGAACGAUGAUCCAGGAGCUUGCUCUUGGGGAUUAGUGGCGAACGGGUGAGUAACACGUGAGCAAUCUGCCCUUCACUCUGGGAUAACCUCCGGAAACGGAAGCUAAUACCGGAUAUGACGCACGGAGGCAUCUCCUGUGCGUGGAAAGAACUUCGGUGAAGGAUGAGCUCGCGGCCUAUCAGGUAGUUGGUGAGGUAACGGCCCACCAAGCCUACGACGGGUAGCCGGCCUGAGAGGGUGACCGGCCACACUGGGACUGAGACACGGCCCAGACUCCUACGGGAGGCAGCAGUGGGGAAUAUUGCACAAUGGGCGCAAGCCUGAUGCAGCAACGCCGCGUGAGGGACGACGGCCUUCGGGUUGUAAACCUCUUUUAGUAGGGAAGAAGCGAAAGUGACGGUACCUGCAGAAAAAGCACCGGCUAACUACGUGCCAGCAGCCGCGGUAAUACGUAGGGUGCAAGCGUUGUCCGGAAUUAUUGGGCGUAAAGAGCUCGUAGGCGGUUUGUCGCGUCUGCUGUGAAAACCCGAGGCUCAACCUCGGGCCUGCAGUGGGUACGGGCAGACUAGAGUGCGGUAGGGGAGAAUGGAAUUCCUGGUGUAGCGGUGGAAUGCGCAGAUAUCAGGAGGAACACCGAUGGCGAAGGCAGUUCUCUGGGCCGUAACUGACGCUGAGGAGCGAAAGCGUGGGGAGCGAACAGGAUUAGAUACCCUGGUAGUCCACGCCGUAAACGUUGGGCGCUAGAUGUGGGGACCAUUCCACGGUUUCCGUGUCGCAGCUAACGCAUUAAGCGCCCCGCCUGGGGAGUACGGCCGCAGGGCUA
rnacentral:rRNA from 1 species